rnacentral:rRNA from 1 species
GACAGAGGGUGCAAACGUUGUUCGGAAUUACUGGGCGUAAAGCGCGUGUAGGCGGCUUGGCAAGUCGGGUGUGAAAGCCCCGGGCUCAACCUGGGAAGUGCACUCGAAACUGCUUGGCUUGAGUACUGGAGAGGGAAGCGGAAUUCUCGGUGUAGAGGUGAAAUUCGUAGAUAUCGGGAGGAACACCGGUGGCGAAGGCGGCGACCUGGGUAGAUACUGACGCUGAGGCGCGAAAGCGUGGGGAGCAAACAGG